AAGUCGUAACAAGGUUUCCGUAGGUGAACCUGCGGAAGGAUCAUCAGUGUAUCUGGUUAUCUCACCCUUUGUGCCGUGUCCUUGCGGUGGGUUCGCCGCAUGUUUUUUUUAUUAUUAUUGCAUUUGCAACGCCUGAGCCUGAUCUGUCGAUUUUAAGAACACACACACAACUUUUAACAACGGAUCUCUUGGUUCUC
rnacentral:misc_RNA from 1 species